UCGACUGCAUGAAGCCGGAAUCGCUAGUAAUCGCGGAUCAGAAUGCCGCGGUGAAUACGUUCCCGGGUCUUGUACACACCGCCCGUCACACCAUGGGAGUCGGAAAUGCCCGAAGCCGGUGGCCUAACCGAUAAGGGAGGAGCCGUCGAAGGCAGGUCUGAUGACUGGGGUGAAGUCGUAACAAGGUACC
rnacentral:rRNA from 1 species